UGAGGGAUUGAAGAGUGCAUGUGG
rnacentral:siRNA from 1 species